AAUAAGGUGCCUGAUAAAAGGGCUAUCUUGAUAGGAUAGAUUAUGUAUUAAUAUACCCUUAUUA
rnacentral:tRNA from 1 species